UUUGACGCCUCACAUAUCAGGAAUCGAGCAGUUCAUUCCCCAUUUCUCUUUCCCCUCUCUCCCCUGCACUGGUCUCCUCCAUCUCCAGCGCGGAAUCUGCCGCGAUGGCGGCGAGCGGUCCAGCAGGGAGGCGCAUCUAGCCGCGGGGAUGGUCAUCCUAGUUCGUCAGAGAACUGGGAGGAGCGCCGACGGCGCGGACGCGCAGAUUGGCGCGUUCGAUGGCGAUGGCAGUGCCGAGAGGGCUUGGAUGGGCAUCGGCGGCUCGGACCAGCGGAUCGACGCACCUCUGUUGACUGGACGGUGGAGGAGCAUCGGCGGCGCAGUGCUCCAGUCAAAACCGUGAUGGACUUCAGUAGAUUUUGAAUGUGGUGGUGAUAUUUGGGACUCUUUAUGGGGCGCACACCAUGUCAAGCUAUGAAACCGUUGCUGCUCAAUUUUGUUCAUCGACAAGGAGAAGAAAAAGGUUGUGUUUGCACAAUCUGGGAAGGACUUCGCCUCCUCACGGUCCCUCUGAGCACCAUCCUGCUUGGUGUUUUUCCCUGUGAUGUGUGUUUCUUUUCUUCCAAUCACAACCUGGUCUGGCAACUUCAUAUUUUAAUCCAUAGUGAAACUGGCUGCUUGUUUUUGAGAUUGUUCUCUGCAUAUUCUACUCUUUUGAUUGCCGGGCUGUAACUAAAUGGAAAUUUGGAUGAUUUAUGCGUCUAAUGCAUACAGAUGAUUGCUGGGCUGCCAA